UUUCCGUAGGUGAACCUGCGGAAGGAUCAUUACUGAGUGGGGCCCCUCUGGGUCCAACCUCCCACCCGUGUUUAUCGUACCUUGUUGCUUCGGUGAGCCCGCCUCACGGCCGCCCCGGGGCAUCGGCCCCCGGGCGCGCGCUCGCCGAAGACACACUUGAACUCUGUCUGAAGUCUGCAGUCUGAGCGAAAACUAAAUAAGUUAAAACUUUCAACAACGGAUCUCUUGGUUCCG
rnacentral:misc_RNA from 1 species